UACGAAGGGGGCUAGCGUUGUUCGGAAUUACUGGGCGUAAAGCGCACGUAGGCGGAUAUUUAAGUCAGGGGUGAAAUCCCAGAGCUCAACUCUGGAACUGCCUUUGAUACUGGGUAUCUUGAGUAUGGAAGAGGUGAGUGGAAUUCCCAGUGUAGAGGUGAAAUUCGUAGAUAUUCGGAGGAACACCAGUGGCGAAGGCGGCUCACUGGUCCAUUACUGACGCUGAGGUGCGAAAGCGUGGGGAGCAAACAGG
rnacentral:rRNA from 1 species